rnacentral:lncRNA from 1 species
AUGGAGGCAGAGACAGUAGCAUCCUCUCCUUGCUCUUGCACUGAGAGGUAUUUUGGCAGCUGUGGACAGGCUCUAAGAUGGUGCUGUGAGCCCAAGAUGACUGCUCCUUCCAGUUCUGAAUGCGGGCUGCCUAGCAGAUGCUGUUCCCGAGCGGGAAGAGGCGAGCUGCCUAGUAAAAAUCAACAGAUGUUCAUGCACCUUCAGAAAGUGGCCAGUAUCCUUUUGGAACAAAGACGUGCUUUGUCUGUCUUCACACCCGCAGUGGCAGGCAAGCCAAGAUCCCCUCUGCAGGCAGCACGUGUCUGUCUGCUUUGGUAUGUGGUGGCAGACAUCUGAAACACAGUGAAUAAAAAAGACUGUAGAAAUCAAAUUGCACUCGUGGAACAAAGUGACAAUAAAAGCAACUCCCUAAUCUUCCAAAUGUCAUGUGGCUUAGAUGUAGUUUUCAACUUAGCACACAGCCAGCUCUGCCUUGAAUGCAAUUCCUCUUCAUGCUGGCCAAAAACACCUUCCAUUUAGAAACUACUUAACUGUAAUAACAUUACCCUAUGUCACACCCACCAG